rnacentral:ncRNA from 2 species
AACGCUGUAUGUGACUGGCGAAGUCAGUGGAAUCAACCACGAGGGAGCAUACAAACAAAGCGUACCGUUCGCCUGGGAGAAGUAU